rnacentral:rRNA from 1 species
AACGAACGCUGGCGGCAGGCCUAACACAUGCAAGUCGAACGGGAUCUUCGGAUCUAGUGGCGGACGGGUGAGUAACGCGUGGGAACGUGCCCUUUGGUUCGGAAUAGCCCCGGGAAACUGAGAGUAAUACCGGAUAAGCUCUACGGAGGAAAGAUUUAUCGCCAAAGGAUCGGCCCGCGUUGGAUUAGGUAGUUGGUGAGGUAAUGGCUCACCAAGCAGACGAUCCAUAGCUGGGUUGAGAGGAUGAUCAGCCACACUGGGACUGAGACACGGCCGAGAGUACUGCUGGAGGUAGCAGUGGGGAAUCUUAGACAAUGGGGGAAACCCUGAUGUAGCCAUUCCGCUUGAUCGAUGAAGGCCUUAGGGUUGUAAAGGUCUUUCAGUGGGGAAGAUAAUGACUGUACCCACAGAAGAAGCCCCGGCUAACUCCGUGCCAGCCGCCGCCGUAA